CAGGCAUGAUACAAGGAGAGGCUGCAGAUGGGCUUGGAAAUUGGAGCUUGCUCUCUUGCAUCUCUGCCAUUGCCAUGAGAAUAAACAAGUCCAGGCAAGUCUACCCAUCCCAGGAGGAGGCUGAGGGUCUUGUGGAGCAGAUGAGGUUCAUCCAGAUCAGAUGACAGCUGUGGAGUCCUAGAGAGGUGCAUUGAAGGUUCUGACUGCUGAAAACAGAAAAUACAAAAAGAUUAAUGGGCCCGUUACCAAAGGAUUCACUGCCGACAGACAUGAGCUGCCUGUUCCCAUUUAGUAUCUCUGCAUCUUCCUGAAGGCUGAGUUUUAUUAUUUGACUCCUCAUAUCCCUUUAAACAAUAGGCUGUACAUAAAAUAAAAUCUACUGAAUCUCA